CCCUUAGAUGUUCUGGGCCGCACGCGCGCUACACUGAUGCAUUCAACGAGUUUCUUCCUGGUCCGAGAGGAAUGGGUAACCUUUUGAAAGUGCAUCGUGAUAGGGAUAGACUAUUGCAAUUAUUGGUCUUCAACGAGGAAUUACUAGUAGACGUAGUUCAUCAGACUGCAUCGAUUACGUCCCUGCCCUUUGUACACACCGCCCGUCGCUCCUACCGAUUGAAUGCUCAGGUGAGCCAUUCGGACUUUCAUCAUGCUGGUUUCCAGUUUUGAUGAAGGAAAGUCUUGCGAACCUUAUCAUUUAGAGGAAGGAGAAGUCGUAACA
rnacentral:rRNA from 1 species